rnacentral:rRNA from 1 species
GACGAACGCUGGCGGCGUGCUUAACACAUGCAAGUCGAACGAAGAGCGCUGGAAGCUUGCUUCUAUCAUUCUUAGUGGCGAACGGGUUAGUAACGCGUAAUCAACCUGCCCUUCAGAGGGGUACAACAGUUGGAAACGACUGCUAAUACCGCAUACGAUCUGACCUCGGCAUCGAGGAUAUAUGAAAGGUGGCUUCUAUUUAUAAGCCAUCACUGAAGGAGGGGAUUUCGCCUGAUUAGCUAGUUGGAGGGGUAACGGCGCACCAAGGCGAUGAACAGUAGACGGUCAGCGAGGAUGAGCGGCCACGUUGGGACGGAGACACGGCCCAGAACACUAGGGGAGGGAGCAGGGGGGAACCUUCCGCAAUGGAAGAAGUGCUGAAGGUGGGACGCCGCGCGAGAGACGACGGCCGUCGUGUUGCGAAGGUCUGUUAGUCCGGAGGAAAGGCAUUCUUGCGAAUAGGUAGAAGGAUUGACGGUACCGGAAUAGAAAGCCACGGCUAACUACGUG